GCGAGAAAACUUUGCAAUGUGCGAAAGCACGACAAGGUUAAUCCGAGUGGUUUCUGCUAAAGAAACCUUUUGUCAGUCCUAGAAACACUAACGAAUAAGGGGCGGGCAAGUUCUGGUGUCAGCCGCCGCGGUAAAACCAGCACCUCAAGUGGUCAGGAUGAUUAUUGGGCCUAAAGCAUCCGUAGCUCGUUUUGUAAGUUUUCGGUUAAAUCCAUGCGCUUAACGUAUGGGCUGCCGGGAAUACUGCAUAACUAGGAAGUGGGAGAGGUAGACGGUACUCGGUAGGAAGGGGUAAAAUCCUUUGAUCUAUUGAUGACCACCUGUGGCGAAGGCGGUCUACCAGAACACGUUCGACGGUGAGGGAUGAAAGCUGGGGGAGCAAACCGGAUUAGAUACCCCCGUAGUCCCUGAGCGGGCUGGCAAGGCGCAU
rnacentral:rRNA from 1 species